UCAGUGGAGUGGGAAGCCAGCCAACCAGAAGAGUCUCUGAGGUGUACUUGCCUGGAGGCAGAGUCAGCAUCCAAAGCCAGGUCCAGUCCUAGGGGCAGGCAAACUGCAAUCCAUGUGUUCAGAUGGUCCGGGAGUCAGGGAAUUUGAUGAUCAUGGGGGUCAAGGGUCAGGAUGUGCAGGAAGCAGUAAGAAACAGAGCUUGUGCGUGUUCAAUAAAGGACUGGAUGGCU